UAAUGAUAUAGGAUACUAGAGAAGCACAAAGGUACUUUUAGCCACAUUGAAUACAAGAAUGUAAUAAAGAUCCAAAUACUUAAAACAAUUUGAGGGCAUGUGUUUUUUGCAUUCCAAUUGAUUUUCCUAUUUUGAUUGAAUUAGUAGAUGCCAGCCCACUGGGACUGGUUUAGAUGGUGCACUUGGGAUGCCUUCUACACUGAAGUCAGUCCACAAGGGAUCAAAGAGGGUCUUCAAAGUUUCUUGGAAGGAGGCUUUUUAUCUAAAUUUCUGAUCAUUGAUGAUGGAUGGUCAGAGACAGUAAAUGGCUUCUGUAAAAAAGAAGGUGAACCAUUUAUUGAAGGGACACAGUUUGCAAACAGAUUGGUGGACUUCAAAGAAAACAAUAAUUUCAAGAGUUUGGGUUCAGCUAAUACAUGCAUUGAUCUCCAUGAUAUUUUUGAUUCAAUCAAAGCAAAAUAUUGAUUAAAGUUAUUGGAGCAGUGUGCUCCCAUCAUCAGAAACAAUGAAAAAGUACAAUUCAAAAUCACCUGGAAACACAAGGAAUCUUAGAGACAUUGCCAUGGACAGCAUGAAAAAAUAUGGAGUUGGGAUUAUAGAACCCCAAAAAAUCUAUGGGUUUUAUAACGAUCUCCACCUCUAUCUUGCAAGCUGCAGUGUGGAUGGAGCAAAGGUUGAUGUUCAAAAUUUGAUAGAAACCUUAGGUUCAAGGGCCGGUGGACGGGUGUCAUUGACUAGAUGCUAUCAAGAAGCACUUGAGCAAUCUAUUGCAAGGAACUUCAAGGACAAUAGCCCGAUUUGCUGCAUGAGUCACCAUUCAGACUCAAUCUAUAGUUCAAAGAAGAGUGUAAUUGCACGAGCAUCGGAGGAUUUCAUGCCAAGAGAACCAACAUUUCAGACUUUACAUAUUGCUUCUGUGGCUUUAUUAGUCUUCUUCUAGGGGAGAUUGUGGUGCCAGAUUGGGACAUGUUCCAUUUAAGAUUUCCCACAUAUAUAUUAUUCCCUGCACAUCAAAGAGCUGU